rnacentral:rRNA from 1 species
CGGAGGGCUAGCGUUGUUCGGAAUUACUGGGCGUAAAGCGCACGUAGGCGGCUUUGUAAGUUAGAGGUGAAAGCCCGGGGCUCAACUCCGGAACUGCCUUUAAGACUGCAUCGCUUGAAUCAUGGAGAGGUCAGUGGAAUUCCGAGUGUAGAGGUGAAAUUCGUAGAUAUUCGGAAGAACACCAGUGGCGAAGGCGACUGACUGGACAUGUAUUGACGCUGAGGUGCGAAAGCGUGAGGAGCAAACAGGAUU